UAGGGAAUAUUGGACAAUGGGGGCAACCCUGAUCCAGCCAUGCCGCGUGAGUGAAGAAGGCCCUCGGGUUGUAAAGCUCUUUUGUCCGGAAAGAAAAGCUUCGGGUUAAUACCCCGGGGUUCUGACGGUACCGGAAGAAUAAGCACCGGCUAACUUCGUGCCAGCAGCCGCGGUAAUACGAAGGGUGCAAGCGUUACUCGGAAUUACUGAGCGUAAAGCGUGCGUAGGUGGUUGUUUAAGUCUGAUGUGAAAGCCCUGGGCUCAACCUGGGAAUGGCAUUGGAAACUGGGCAGCUAGAGUGCGGUAGAGGGUAGUGGAAUUCCCGGUGUAGCAGUGAAAUGCGUAGAGAUCGGGAGGAACAUCUGUGGCGAAGGCGACUGCCUGGACCAGCACUGACACUGAGGCACGAAAGCGUGGGGAGCAAACA
rnacentral:rRNA from 1 species